rnacentral:lncRNA from 1 species
AAUAUCAAGUUAAAAAAUUCAGCUGUUAGAUUGUCAGUCCUACUAUUAGGUAAAGAGUUGAGAAAAAAUUAGAAUCUUAAUCUAAUAAUUAAAAUUUACAAAAUAUAAAUAUCUUUAUAUUUGGAUUGGCCUAAAAUUCAAAUAGUAAAAAUUGAUAAAUAUAUAUAUUCGAGUUAUAUCGAGCUGAACAUAGGUGAGUUGACUUCAGCUUAUGUUCGGCUCAUUUAUUAAAUAAGCGAUCGAUCUCGGAUUAAUUUCGAGCCAAAUACAAGCUGGCCGGUGAACGGUGA